rnacentral:rRNA from 1 species
GAUGAACGCUAGCUACAGGCUUAACACAUGCAAGUCGAGGGGCAGCACUAGGUAGCAAUACUGAGGUGGCGACCGGCGCACGGGUGCGUAACGCGUAUCCAACCUUCCCGUUACUCUUGGAUAGCCUUCCGAAAGGGAGAUUAAUACAAGAUGGUAUUCAAAUUCCGCAUGUUAUUUGAAUUAAAGAUUUAUCGGUAACGGAUGGGGAUGCGUGACAUUAGCUAGAUGGCGGGGUAACGGCCCACCAUGGCGACGAUGUCUAGGGGUUCUGAGAGGAAGGUCCCCCCACACUGGAACUGAGACACGGUCCAGACUCCUACGGGAGGCAGCAGUGAGGAAUAUUGGUCAAUGGUCGGAAGACUGAACCAGCCAUGCCGCGUGAAGGUCACGGCCCUAUGGGUCUUAAACUUCUUUUGUUAGGGAGCAAUAAGGCGUACGUGUACGUCGAUGAGAGUACCUAACGAAUAAGCAUCGGCUAACUCCGUG